UCCAUGAUGUCUGACCCAGGUGGGGCU
rnacentral:piRNA from 1 species